GACAACUGGAUCACUUUCUGUUUUCCUCAGAGCCUAGCUCUAUGAAGAAAUGAUCAACACCACUUUGGAAAUAAGAGUGAAGAAAGAAGCAUGUUCACUGAAGAGGCGUUUGGCAUCAGCAAUUAAGUGGGGCCAGAGCUGCUUCCAGCUCCUGCAGAAAGAGGAACAGAAGGAGCAGGAGGAAGAAAGAGAGGCAGCGAAUAAAGAAGGAGGAGCAGCUGAGGACGGAGCCACGACCUCCUCGUUUUUCCUCUGACUCAGACGGUGAUUCAGAGGGCUGUCCUGCCAAGCUCCCUUCAACCAUCAGCCAUCUAAUCAACCGUAAGGCGUCUAUGCUGCAGGACUCGAGUGCUGCCUUUGACAAGAGAGAUGAGGAGAUGGCUCAGAGCUAUGUGGACAAACCAUCCAUCCCCUACAUUUUGUCAUUGGUUUCCCAGAACUGCCACUCAAGUAUCAGUGUGAUGAACACCCAGCAGUGAAGGCUGUGUUUCUCAGAAGUUUCAUCUUUACCAAAUUAUUCUUUUUCCUCCUUCUCCUUCUCCUUCUUUCUCCUUCAAAAUAUAUGAACAUAACAUUAAAAGUGAUAUUUAACUUCAUUAAGGAGUUCAUGACAGCUCAGGGUAC